rnacentral:lncRNA from 1 species
GGGAGUGAUGUUCUCGUACCGUACUGUGACCCUUAUGAUUUAUUAUUGAAACUAAUCUUUUAGGUUAAUUAUAAAACACAAUUACACACAAAACCUUGAGUACUUUUCAACAUAAGGACGAACGACUGGAGAGACAAAGAAGAAAGACAGAGAGAGAUUAUAGGUAAGAAAUAAAGAAAAGGGUCGUUCUUGUGAUAUAUUAAAGAAGUAAUCAACCACACUCAAACAAACGACGUCUAUAAUUUUCCUAAGUAUAGAAAAAAAGAUUAAUCAUGUCAUCGUUUUGAUUAAUAGGCUAGAAAAAGACAAUGAGC